GACACCGGCCCUCCAGGAACAAGUUUGGUGACCACUGCUUUAGACUAUGGGAAGUUGCUCAGGUGAAGUGUGCUGGUGUAACCCUGUCAAUUCUGUCCAAAUAAAGUCCUGAAAUGACCUUUAAUGCAAACACUCAAACUAGAGUAAAGCGCAAUAUCUAGUUCGCCACUAGGUGGCAGGGCACAAUAAAACUUUCUUCUUCUGCUGUUUUUUGGCCAUUGCGGGUUUUGCCUAAAGGGAAGAGAAGCAGAGAAAAACGGGAGCCAGAGCAGAAGUUAAUAUUAAGGUUGAAAUUAUUCAGAAAACUAAUUAUAUCCCUUAAGUUGAACCACAUUAAAGAUGAGAUGACAUUUGUUGUAAAACAAAAUUAUCUGGUGGAUAAAAAAGACAAAAAACCAGUCUGGCUAUCUGCAAUAGCAGUGGAUGUUACCUCACAGACUGGUUUUUUUUUUUGAGGGUUCUUCUGAUCCUGGAUUCCUGGUGUUCCUCCAACUGAAGGUGGAUUCCUCUCUGUUCGCCUUGGUGCCUGGUUCUCUAGUCUAUCCUUCAACUAACAGCGCUGCAACGGUUCGUUUUGGAGUUUGAUAUGGACGCUAAGUAUUGAAGGGGUGGUUAGACAGUUAAAAUAUUUGAGUGCACUCAAGGGUAACAAUUUUUUUUCCUUUUUUUGAAAGAUCUUUCCUUCUAUUUUGUUUCGUGAUAUCUCAAAAUUUGUGGCUGAUUUGUCAAAAUCAAUGGUAGUAAUGUAAAGUGAACUGAAUAUUGAAUCUGAAUAGGAAAGAAAAAAGAACAAAUAAUUUUAAUAAGAACUACAUUUAACUUUAUUCUAUUGUCCUGUGUUUUUGUAGUGCAAUCUAUGAGUCCUUAGCCCACGUGAUUAAUAUAUAGCCAGCCUCCUCAUCGAAUCUAGAUUUAGAAAACUCCUACAAAUAGAUUCUUAGCCUGCAACAACGCAGAACUACCACCGUAGGGUUACACUAACUGUGUGUGUUGUGCUUUGUUUUGAUUUUUAAACUUCUUGGGGACCCCCUCGAAAAUGAGAUCAUUUCAAGGGGCCUUGUUCAUCUUAGAGUUGCCCAAACUCGGUCCUGGAGGUCCAGUGUCCUGCAGAUUUUAGCUCCAACUUGCCUUAACACACCUGCACGGAUGGUUUUGAAAAGCCAAGAAAUGCUGCUGUUAUACUAGAGAUUGAGCUUGUGAAAUUCUGUAGUACGGCGCUGCGAUUAGGGGCGAGAAUAAACGAGAUGAUUAGACAUUUAAAAAAGAGAGCGAUCAAUCCAUAUUCUAAAUUCCUGUACAGAGAGGUCACGUUUUGAUUCUCAAUUGGUCUCACGUGAUACGAUUUCGCAGGUCAAAGAACACCAAGAUUGAACUUUGCAUCGCAGCGAACUGCAAACUUGUUACACGAGCUUGCGUUUCUGGAUGCAUUCGCGUGCAUAUGAAUGGAAGUCUAUGGGGAGAAAAGUCCAGUGUGACCACAGCUUUAGAUCUUGAUUAGCUAGUCCAGGUGUGUCUGAUUGGGGUUGGAACUAAACUAUGCAGGACACCGGCCCUCCAGGACUGAGUUUGGGCACCCCUGUUCUAUGCCAUUUAAUAAAUUAAAAUAUUAAGUGUGCAUGCCACCCCUCAACAGCACCUCCCCCUUGAAAGCCAAGUGAUUUGUUGAUCUUGUUUACGUUUCAUUUUAUUUUCACUUCAGUAAACAAUUUAAUUCUCCCCAAGUCACAAGUGUUUUUUUUUUUUUUUAAAUCGUUUUAGUUUACAAUAAUAAUAUAAAACAAAGAUCCCUGCGACGCUCCAGGAACAGACAAGUCUUCGCUGAUGUCCAAAUUCCUGCCUCCGGCGCCUUGACUGCAGCUCUGCACAAGACAUUCGGCCAGUGGAGAAAUGGCCGUGCCUAACUGAGACUGGUUUGUCUUGAGGUUUUUUUAUUCUUCACUUUCGCCAAAUGGUGAAGUUUUUUUCCUCGCCGCUGUCGCCACUGGCUUGCAUGGUUCGGGAUCUGUAGAGCUGCGCAUUGAUGGAUUUGCUCUUCAGUCUUUGGAUCUCAGUAGUGAUUAUUAAACCACACUGAACUGAACCUCUGAAAACCAAUGUAGCCGUGGCGGGAUGAAUCUCGGUGUGGCGCCCCGCCAUGGAAGAAUGAAUGUAGCAGAACCCAUGCAUACUGUAUGUGUUGCUCCAAAUCUCCCAAUAACCUGUCUUUCUAGUAAAAGCUCUGUAAUUUUAUGCAAUAUAUUUAUAAAUUUAGUAGGCCUAAAGUUCACUGAAGAAAUAAACACAUCAUAUUUGACAAACACAA